GGCCUUAUAGUCUAGAGGUUAGGACACGACCCUCUCAAGGUUGAGACCGGAGUUCAAUUCUCCGUAAGGCUACCA
rnacentral:tRNA from 1 species